GCAAUGCCUCGAUAGGAACAUUCCCUUUAAUGCUAUUUGGACUUAAGCAAUCCCUGUCCAGGAAAAGAGCAGGUUUAUCUGCUUGCUUUUGAGGCUGAGCUCAGUCUAGGCAUUAGGACUUGGAGGGGAGAAAGGUUCCUAUGUCUCACAAGGGUGAAUUUUCCUUCUCUUGCCUGGGCUCUGACUGCACUUUAGAAGCCACGCGGAUGCUCACAAGUUCGUGAUGUCACUGAAGUGAGCUCUUUUCCACUGGGAAGAAGAAAUUUCACUGCAAUUCAGACAUGUUCCUAACAUAGCGAUCUACAGCAAAUUCAGAGGUGCCAAGCCCUGCCAGCCCAAGAUUUCAACCAAAACUAACUAUUCCUCCGUCCUCCCAAAAAUGCAGAGGCUUGCUGCUGGGGAUUAAUGCACCAAGCCGGGAGCUGAGCUGAUCAGGUCACCUGAAGGAAUGUAAGUGUACCACCUGCAGCAGAGAGCAGGCAGCUUUGUGUGUACCUGUGAAUGGCUUUCUGAGGAACGCAAGGUAUCAACAACAUCUGGA
rnacentral:lncRNA from 1 species